GUGCUUACUUCACAGCACAUAUACUAAAAUUAGAACAAUACAGAGAAAAACUGCCAUGGCCCCUAUGCAAGUAUGACACACAAAGGGUACAGAAAUAGGUUCCAGGUUC
ensembl:snRNA Gm23819 predicted gene, 23819